rnacentral:lncRNA from 1 species
GUAGCUGCCCAGUUCUGCAGAGCCAUCUAUGCAGCUUUUAUCCUGGCUCAGAAAUCUGCAACUGGCUGGUGUGAAAUGGUGCUGCUUCAGAAGCUAUGCAAAGAAAAAGCAGCUGGCAUGCUAUGAGUCACCAAGGAUCAGCGCAAUAAGUGGAGUUAAAGAAACAGAUAACCAGAAUCCCACUUACGCUACACACCAGGAGCUAAGGAAAGGUUUGGAUAGACAGCUAUGUGCACAGAGGUCCUGAUUCUGCAACAUAUUUAACACGCGAUUAAACCUAUAUUUGGCAAGUCCAAUUCAUCGCAAUGGGAA